AAAUCUAUUAACCUUAGCAGUCAUGGUUUACAAAAUGGGUCUUUGAAACCAAAUAAGACUGACAAAUUAUUAAUAGAAUCAUUGUUAGAAAUGAAACUGUCUCAGACCGCAUUAAAUCAGAUGCAAUUUUUUCAGCAAUACAAAUAAGUGUGAGUCCGUCAAUAGGACAAUUUCUACAUACCUACCGAAGAAUAAGAAUUUUUCUCGCAAUGCCUUAGGCCGUGCAUCUGCAGCAGUCUUGAAAGUCAAUAAUAAACGGGAUGUUGCAUUGGCUAAGACCCUAAAAGCUGUAGGUUGUGGUCUGGGUAGAAAGUCUCGUGCUGUAGUGGCUCUGAAAAAAAUACGUAAACGUGAAAUAUAUGAUUGUGCAUAUCAAAAAAGUUUACGUGUCAAAUUAAACAGGUUAAAAGCUCGUAAAAAACAGGCUAUCGAUUUCUUGUUAAACAAGAGAGUGCGAAACAGGUUGAUUAGUGGAUAUAAAAAACAUCAGUUAGAACCAAAGCUAUGUCAGAAUUCAAGUCCGAAAGAAUUCGUUCCACAGCCAGGUUGUAGUUCUUGGCCAGAUUAACAUUUAUAUUAAAAGGUUACACAAUAUGGUUUUCUUUCAGCCUUUCAGGAAGCUA
rnacentral:lncRNA from 1 species